UACGGAGGUUGCAAGCGUUAUCCGGAUUUAUUGGGUUUAAAGGGUGCGUAGGCGGAACUAUAAGUCAGUGGUGAAAUCCUGUCGCUUAACGAUAGCAUUGCCAUUGAUACUGUAGUCCUUGAGUAUAGUUGAGGUGGGCGGAAUGUGUAGUGUAGCGGUGAAAUGCUUAGAUAUUACACAGAACACCGAUUGCGUAGGCAGCUCACUAAACUAUAACUGACGCUGAGGCACGAAAGCGUGGGGAUCAAACAGG
rnacentral:rRNA from 1 species